GGCGACGUGGCCAAGUGGUAAGGCAGGGGUCUGCAAAACCUCGAUCAGCGGUUCGAUUCCGCUCGUCGCCU
rnacentral:tRNA from 1 species